UUUGUUCUUUGUUCUUUAAUCUCACGGCUAACCCGGGGGUUUCGUCACAUUAACUUGCUUCACAUUAAGUCCAUCAUCACAGGAACUCACCAGCUAGGACCGUCCUUACGGGUCUACUCCAACCCGGAUGCCAAACUCCGGAGCGCAUCGCCCGAGGGGGAGCGACCGCCCUCGAGCACGGAACUCAUAGCAAGUAUGAUCAAUCCUUAACUCUAAGGAUAUGUUGUUGGAUCAUGGUUUUACACUAACUCUAGUGUUCUUUACAUCACUUUAUGUUGCCACUCUAGCAAUCAUUGUUCUUUACAUUUCUUUUACUUUUGCUAACUCUAGCAAUCACGUUUUUCACAUUCCUUUACUUUAAGCUAUCUUUAGCUUUCACAUUCUUUAACUUUACACGUUCUUUACGCCACAUUACAUUACAUUGUCUCUAGCCAUUAUCAUUAUUCUUUACACUUUGCUUCUUCUUUAUGCCACAUUACUUUACAUUGCCUCUAGCCAUUAUCAUUGUUCUUUACAUCACAUUGCUUUGCCUUGUCUCAAGCCAUUAUCAUUAGGUUCUCACAUUACAUCUCAUGCAUACACAUAGAUUAUUUAGAUUCUUAAUCAUUCUAAUAAGCACGUGUACUCACAUCAUGCAACAUUACAUUAUUAUCAUCACAUUGUCUUACAUUAUCUUUAGCCAUUAUCAUUAUUCUUUACAUCACAUUUAUUCUUUGAUGUCCCACACUAACUCUAGUGUCCACUUUACCAUUUCGAAUGCCACUCGAUCUAUGUUCAACAUGCAUAUAUUUGUCAUCCAUUGGUAGUCAUUACUUAGCAUUUUAUGCAUUCGUUAACAUUUACUACAUGCAUUCUCGGUUAGUACAAAUCUCAUACUUUCAUUUGACAUCUAUUUAGCAUUUCUAUAAUAUGCACAUAUAAAUUAACAUCAACUCAUGCAUUCAUUUGGCAUCUAUCUUUAUCAUGCAUUCUUAAUUAGCAUACUUUAUCAUGCAUUCUCAAAUAGCAUACUUUAAUCUUUAUCAUGCAUUCUUAAACAGCAUACUUUAUCAUGCAUCAAUAGUAAACAUACUACACUUUAGCAUGGAAAGCGACCUAAUCGCUUCGGUGAGCACAACCCACCUCAUUUCGCAUUCCGAUUGCUUGUCGACAUUUGCAAUCGGCCUCCCGCGGCACCCGGCACCCGGUUUGGCCCGAUCUC
rnacentral:lncRNA from 1 species